CUCAACUCUGCAGAUAUGACGCCUCUGUUCAUCUCAGUGCUGCUGGCUGCUCUGUGUCUUGAAGGCCGAGCACAACAAGACCUUGUGCAGCAACCAGAAGGAGACGUGAGUGCGACUGAAGGAGAAGCAGCAACACUUGGCUGUCGAUACGUCAGCAGCUCAACUAGUGUGAAUCUCUUCUGGUACAAACAGGAAGGAGCCAACAGACCAAAGUUCAUCCUGAGCCGCUUUCUACUGGGAGAAGGAAACACAGCAGACGACUUCAGAGAGAGAUUUUCAUCCACAGUGAAUUCCACCUCGAGAUCAUUUCCUCUGAAGAUCCAGAAGCUGCAGCCGUCUGACUCUGCUGUGUACUACUGUGCUCUGCAGCCCACAGUGACAGGA